rnacentral:piRNA from 1 species
UGACAACGCAAAUGGGGACCCUGGGA